CCUACGGGAGGCAGCAGUAAGGAAUAUUGGACAAUGGGCGCAAGCCUGAUCCAGCCAUGCCGCGUGAAGGAUUAAGGCCCUCUGGGUUGUAAACUUCUUUUAUAGGGGACGAAAAAAGGGCUUUCUAGCUCGACUGACGGUACCCUAUGAAUAAGCACCGGCUAACUCCGUGCCAGCAGCCGCGGUAAUACGGAGGGUGCAAGCGUUAUCCGGAUUCACUGGGUUUAAAGGGUGCGUAGGCGGGCAGUUAAGUCAGUGGUGAAAUCUCUGGGCUCAACCCGGAAACUGCCAUUGAUACUAUCUGUCUUGAAUAUUGUGGAGGUGAGCGGAAUAUGUCAUGUAGCGGUGAAAUGCUUAGAUAUGACAUAGAACACCGAUUGCGUAGGCAGCUCGCUACACAUAUAUUGACGCUGAGGCACGAAAGCGUGGGGAUCAAACAGGAUUAGAUACCCUGGUAGUCCACGCCCUAAACUAUGAUUACUCGACAUUUGCGAUACACAGUAAUGUGUGAGNGAAGANAUAGUAAUAACUACCGUAGGUUAGUUACGACGCGAGUUAGUUAACGUUAAGUUAGUAGAGGNGNGAGAGNGCGACGACGACGACGAGGAGGAGG
rnacentral:rRNA from 1 species